AUUAUUAGAAAUAAUAUAUUGUUAGUAUAUAAAACUUACGAAAACAAAAAAUUAUGGCGGUAUCUUAAGCUUUUCAGAGGAAUUUGCUCUUUAAUGGAUAAAACACCCAAAUCUUACUAAAGUUGGUAAAGACAGCUUGUAUACCACUAUUAAAGCAAUUAUUAAUUAUAAUUGCUGUAAAUUUUAUACAAAAAAUAAGUUAAGUCAAGGUGCAGCUUAAACUUUAGGAUGAAGUGAAUUACAAUUCUCUUUAGACAAUUAUUUUAUUUUUAAAAAUAAAAAAAAAUUAGGAUUUGAAAGUAAAAAUUUUAAUAGAAUGAUUAUUUGAAUUAAGCUCUGAGAUAUGUAC
rnacentral:rRNA from 1 species